UCGGGAGAGAAGUGCUAAAGUAUAUAUGCACAAAUUAUAGUAUAUGUCACUCUGCAUGAUAGGAAAUCAACAAGAUCAUUUCCGAAAUCUCUAAAAA